UCUAGAAAGUGUUUGUUGCAGUCAGUUGUGGUAUCAUCUAUCUAUGAAAGCUUGAUGGCGUUAUAUAUAGGUGUAGUGCAGGUAUGGUUUACAUGUGUGUCAGUUUGCUUGUAUGAGUUACUCGAAGGUAAAACAGCUGUUAUGUAACAGUUCUAGAAGCUCUGGGUACAGAGUAAGUUUUUCUAGUCACCCUGGGGGCAUUUAUUAUUAUUGUUGUAGUCAGUGUGACUAUGAUACCAUCUAUCUUAUGAAAGCUUGAUGACUUAACAUAGUUAAAAUAUGAUUAGUGUAUGUGUCAGUUUUGUUACUAUGAGUGAGAUGUGAAUUAACCUGAAAUGAAUUUCGAACUUCAAUUUUUCUUUUAUUUAAAGCACCUUGUAAUCACCUCCUCUGUGAUUUUAGAUGCUCGGUCUCCAGUCCAGGACACGGAAGACCCAGAGGGAAAUGAGAGAGAUCUGAACACAAAGGAUGCCACAUAUGGCCUUCAGGAGCUGACAGAAGAUGGUGACGUCACAGUUACAACUUCUCUGAGAGAAGAGGAAGAGGAUCUGUACAAGGAGACACCAGUGUAACCUCAGAGAGGCUGCUGUAUCCUGCAGUUACAUCAUGGACAUGGACUCUUGGUAUUUUAAAAUUGGCAGUAUUUACCAAGUCGAUGUGUUCAGUCUGUAUUAGGACCGUAUUUUUCUAGCCUGGUAAUCAUUUAUACUCAGUACCUUUCAAUGUUACAAAAACUGUUCUUAAGGCCACAAUAAGUUAAUCAAUUGGUUCUUGCAAAGUUCAAGAGUCAUUGUUUGCAUUGGAAACUAGCCUAAGUCUAUUAUGUUGACUUCAUGGCUCCUAUAGCCUAGAAGUCCCUCUGUAGCAUUUGGGGGUACCAUAGAAUGUGAGCAAUAAGUUUGUGCAAGGUUGGUCCCAGAAAAUAGUGAAUUUCAAAGUCUUCAGAAAGAUUCAAAUACAGUAUUCCAUCAGAUAUUUUUAGGAUUAAGAAGAUUGUAUUUUAGUGUGAAAUGAUAUUUUCACCCUCAAUAACAUUAAAGGUAAAAAGUUAUGGAUUACAUUAAUUAUUUUACAUUAUUGAUAGAUUUUUUAGAUUAGCUUGCCUUGUAGAUAGGGCUUCUAACUGUCUUCUUUCUCUGCUUAGCACUCUGCGCUUGAGUAUAUGACUUAGUCUGCACUAAAAGUGGACUAUCCCCCAGUGCUGUAGUGCUUGCACAACUGUGUGGCCCAAGGGUAUAGAACUGUGGGCCCUGAAAAGUGUAGGAAGUAUUUAACUUCUAACAAGGCAUCUAAGUGUGUCAUGUAAUGUAUUGCUGUUGGAGGCAAUUCUCUGAGAAAAGUAUCAUAAGUUGUAAUUCAGUCUCAGAGAUUUUCCAGGGUCUUCCAAAGGCAAGUACAUAUAUGUAUUUCUAUCAUGUCCAGGCCUUGGUAGUACAUUUUACAUGUUCUUAUUCAGGUCUGCCAGUUAGUAUAGAAGUCUGGUCCAUUAUAUUUGUCCAUUAGAGAUGGCCUGAGCACUACAGCAGGCUAGCACUUCUUCACAAAACUAGCUUAGCUUCCAACAAACACAUGGUGCUUGUGGGAACUGCAGCCAUAUCACCUGGUCACCUACUGUUGCUGGGCUGAUGGGUUGGGUAAUUACAUGUAAGUCAACCUUGGAGACGUA